rnacentral:rRNA from 1 species
UACGUAGGGUGCGAGCGUUAAUCGGAAUUACUGGGCGUAAAGCGUGCGCAGGCGGUUCGUUAAGUUCGUUGUGAAAGCCCCGGGCUCAACCUGGGAACUGCAAUGGAAACUGGCGGGCUUGAAUGCGGCAGAGGGGGGUGGAAUUCCGCGUGUAGCAGUGAAAUGCGUAGAGAUCCGGAGGAACACCAGUGGCGAAGGCGACACGCUGGGCCGUACCUGACACUGAUGCGCGACAGCAUGGGGAGCAAACAGG